AUGGCAGUUCAUGUUUUGGUCUGUUGGCUUCUUCUCUGUGCGGCGAAGCAUGACCAACUUUGGCUUCACCGAGAAGCUAGUGCAAGUCCUCACCAGCUCUUUCUGGCCAUAUCUUGGUUGUCGAGUUUUCUUCAUCGCCUUGUUCUCUGGGACAAUGAUCCUAUUCUUAGCUUGUUAUGCUCCUACCAACGACUUCUCGGCUGCUAUGUCAUUAUUACCCUGGCUCCGAGGGUGGUUCAAAGAUCCGUAUGUGCCAUCGAGUUUUGCUCAUGCGUGGCACCGGCAGUGCAAAAGGACGCGAUAUACCCACUGGCCUAUUUUUUUCUGUUUUCAUACCUACAAUCUUAUCAUGAAUUAGCAAAAAAUUUCGGAGUCGCGCAACGCAACCGUCCCUGCCCCUUAUCCGGCCACUCCCCCAUCCCCUACGCCUCAACCCUCCCGACGCCAGCUCCCCAGAUCCGCCCGUGCGUCCACCUGCCGCCACCACCGCCGCUCCUCUCGCCCAUCGGCGUUGCUUUCCUCCUCUACUCCAACGACGGUCUCUCCCUCACGUUCUCCUUGUACUGCCAAAUAUUCAUUGCGGAGAGCGGGUUCUUCACCGCCAAGUUCUCAGAUCACUGGUCCAAGAAGCAGCGGGCAUCGCUCUACGACUGCGACGAUGUGGAGGUAUACCUUGAGACUCUGUUCCUCAUCUGUUGCAAGGAUCUCUGCAGGAGGCUGAUGAGGAAGGUUGUGGGCAAGAUAGACAAGUCGGCGUCGUCAUCUGCUCGACACGUGGCCGAUGCGGACCUGCGUUUUUUCCGUCGCUGCAGCAGAGCCGCACCAGAAGGCGAUUUCAGAGUCAAAAACCCAUUGUUGCGUCCUAAUCUUUUUUGA
rnacentral:rRNA from 1 species